UACGUAGGGGGCAAGCGUUGUCCGGAUUUAUUGGGCGUAAAGAGCGUGUAGGCGGCUAGGUAGGUCCGUUGUGAAAACUCGAGGCUCAACCUCGAGACGUCGAUGGAAACCAUCUAGCUUGAGUCCGGAAGAGGAGAGUGGAAUUCCUGGUGUAGCGGUGAAAUGCGCAGAUAUCAGGAAGAACACCCGUGGCGAAGGCGGCUCUCUGGUACGUGACUGACGCUGAGACGCGAAAGCGUGGGGAGCGAACAGG
rnacentral:rRNA from 1 species